rnacentral:lncRNA from 1 species
AAAAAAAAAAAAUCUUACUGUUGUUUCCAUGGUUUUGUUGCUAUCAUUUCUUUAUAAUAUUGUUAUUAUUGUUUGGAUAUUAUAUAAUUAUUAUUUUAUUGUUAAUUUUACUACUAUUUUAGAGAUAUUUGUUUGCUAAGUUGCACCUAUCUUAAUGUUAUUUAAGCAUAAAUAUUAAAUACUUUUUAAUUUAUUUUUAAUUUGUUGGAAAACUUUUUUUUUGAUGUUUUCAGUAUACUUUUAAAUUUGUUUUUAUGUAAAAAUAAAAAAAUAAAAAAAUUUAAUACGAGUGAAUUGGGCUGGACUUAAAACAAAAUUUAAGGUCCACUUUUUAGGUGGACUUGGUCCCUAGCCUAAAAAAUGUAUCUAAAAUUAUAUUAAAACCAAACUCAAACCUGACCCGACCUAUAAUUACCUCUACUGAUCUCUUUAUUUGCUAGUAUUUUUUUAAAAACUAAGAUAAACUUGAUAAUUAUGAUAAAAAAAACUUUAAGACAAAACUAGAAAUUGAAUGUAGUUUUAGGUCCAUUUGCUACUGGAGCUUAUUAAUAUAUAUACGGGAAACAGAGUAACGCUAACCGAAAAUUUCGGCCUUGGGUUUUUAGGGUUUAAGGCUGGCAAGUCCUGGCUGCUGAGAGUUUUGGGGGUUUCUAAGACUGAAGAGUGUUUGCUUUCGGCAUUUUCUGCUUCGUAUAUUCAUCAUGUGGGCACUACGCCGAGUUCCUAAGCCGCUCAGGUACCUUUUUCUUUCUCUCCUUUCAUGCUCUGCAUUUUACUUGUAUUUCUCUUUUUCGUCUCUGUUUGUUUACCGAGAAAACCUGCAAGGAGAAAAAGAAGGAAAGGCAAAAUGUUGUUGGGUCGUUAUAUAUGUAUCUGUUUUAUUUGGUAGAGAUUAAUUAACCUAAGCUGAAUCCAACUAGCCCUGCCCUUACUUUCCUGACUAUUUCUUCCAUAGCUAAACAGCCUGUGCUACAGUUUGACAUGAAAAAAAUGUUUACUUUCCAGUAAUACAAAUCCGCUGAAAAUUGCAUGAUAUCAUUUAGUUGAGUUGAUCCUACGUUGUUCAAUUUCCUUAUUACCAGUUGAAGACUCUGCAUUUGUUCGCACACGUAACUAUCAAACAAUUAUAAUAAUCCCUUUUUCAUAUAUCAUUUUGUCACUAUAUUGAAUUCUAAAAUACCCUGGAAGCCAAAUAUGUGUAUUUGCUAUGUUUGGUUGUGCUCUCGAUUUUAUUUAACCGUGCAUUUACAAAAUAUCUAUAAAAAGUUCAUCAAUAGUCAUUUCUCUUGUCUCUCUUUGUUAGUUCUACAUUUAGCUUUUUGAAAUUAGAAAAUUAAUUUUCUUUUUCAUGUUUUUUGGUUUGAGAUAAUGAUCCAUGAAUGUUUUUUGCCUGGUUUCCAGAGAUACAAGUAUCAGAACUGGAGCUUCUUUUUCUGCUUCUGCUAGAUUACAAACUUCAAAUACUUCCAUUGAAAAAAAUGCUAUUUUUUCUGGUUCAUGUCCAUCUUUAUUGAGAUUUUACCGAUCAACACAUGCUUCCUCUAAUUUCUCUGUUUGGAGAUGUGGCCUUUCUUCCCAAGCUGGUGCUGAAAGCAGUGGGGAGGAAGAUGACUUGGAAGAUGGUUUUUCUGAACUUGAAACAGCUGGUAAUUCUGAGAAAAAAAGAGAUCAUAUUGCUAAGGAUGAAACUGAAGAUGGACUGGAUUCUGAUCAAGAAUUUUCUGUUGAUGUCGAAGAAACUGCCUCAAAUGAGCUAGAAUUGUUUGGGGCUGAGACUGAUGUCAGUGAUAAAAAGUCAUCUGGAAGGAGGACUACCUCAGGAUUAUUCAAAGCUCUUAUCUCUGCUCCAGGUCUUUCUACUCAUAAGGUUCUUGAUAAGUGGCUUGAGGAAGGAAAAAAUCUAAGCAGAGCUGAGAUUUCAUCAGCAACGCUUAAUCUUCGCAAGCGCCGAAUGUAUGGGAGGGCAUUGCAGGUGAUUUGAAUUAUCAUUGUAUCUAUUUUGAGAAUUUAUGUUGAUUAAACUAAGGUCAACUUAUUGGGUAUGAAAUUACCUUCUCUGCAUAUAAGUGUAUAUGCAAUGCGAUUUCAUGAUUCAAGUAAUUUUAUCCAUUAAAAAAUUAUUUAAAUAAUUUCUUAUGAAAAUAUUAAAUAAAUUGUAAGCACUAUUCUUGUAUUGUUUGUAAGUGCAUGACGAUAAAAUACAUAUGGUUUAGGCAAAUCUGUUUCUCCUUUUCCCUAAUGUUUUGUUUUAAAAUUUUCUAUUUUAGGAAGGGCUUUUGAUUUUUUGGUAAGUAGUACUAGUAGCUGCAGAUUGGAACUUCCAAUAUCAUUCCAUCAUAGGGUAACUGGGAAAUAUAAGAUUUUCUGGUUUUCUUUGUUUUUCCUUUUCUUCAAUAUAGCAAGGAAGAGAACUUUUCUUAUUUUCUUCUAAUUGUGUAUCUUAUUUGUCACUGUAAAACCAAACAGUACUUGAUUGUUUAAAGUUCCUUGGUAUUAAGUUAAAUAGAAAAGUAUACAAAUUGAGUUUUCUGUCAGAAAAAUGAGCUAAACAAGAAAUCAACUUUGUGCUGAUAGUAUGUCAUAAAUGUGCAAGCAAUCAAUCACUGGAUUUUGUAAGCAUAUGUGUAAAACUUCUUGUUUGGAUUUUAACUCGAUUACAGACCAUUUCAAAUAAAAUAUUUGAUAAGUACCCACCUCACUUUUUGAUGCAUGUUGCAGGAGUAUAUCAAAACUUUGGUUUCUUUCUAUCGUUUAUUUUACCUGAUGUAUUAGUAUAUUUCUUUGUCAAAGGAGUACUCAUUGUGCUUUCAUCAAUCAUGCCUGCAGGAUGCAUUGUUUGUUUGUGCAUUUGUCAAUCUUUUGCUCUCAAUUAAAAAAUAUAACUGAUCCUUAGAAUCUUUAGAUGCUCAUCUAGUUGUCUAGUUGGAGAUGUCCUUGCAAUAAUCUGACAUCCUAUGAUAAUCUGGUAGUUUUUGUAAUUAGAAAUUUGGUCUCACAAAUUUGGCACAAAAAAAGUUCUAAAAUUUCUUCCUUUAGUUUAAUGUUAUUUCUCCUUGGAAUUGGCUCACCUUUCAUUUUCCUUUAGUCAGGAGACAGUUGGAUACCCUCUUGCGAAAAAAGUGAUUUUUUCCUUUUUGUGCCGUGCUUGCUAUUACCAAAGGCUCAAAGAUUUGAUUGCAGCUUCCUUUAGCUUUCUUUGGCUUCUAGUUUUUACACUGCAUGUUUAGCAUUCUCACACAAUGUCAACUGCAGAAAUGGUAUGGAUUUUCUAGGUCGGUUGAUAAAAUGAUUUCUAAUAUUAGAAUAUUACCAAUACCCUGCUUAGGCACUUUUUUCCUUAAUCCAUUUUGCUAAACUACUUGAUAUAUAUAUAAAUGCCUAAAUUGGAAUGAUAUUCUAUUGUGUAUGAUUUUAGUCAUGGAAGUUGUAGGUUUUUGGAAGUCGUAGGUUUUUACUUUGCAUUUGUUCUUUCCUUUCUGUUUGCUUAUGGAUUGAUUGUUUGCAGCUCUCUGAGUGGCUGGAGAUGAAGCAGCAGCUUGAAUUUAAUGAGAAAGAUUAUGCUUCUCGUCUUGAUUUGAUUGCCAAAAUACGAGGUCUCCAGAAGGCAGAAGACUACAUUCAGACUAUCCCAAAAUCUUUCAGAGGAGAGAUAAUCUACAGAACCCUGCUGGCUAACUGUGUUGUAUCUAACAAUCUGAAGAAAGCAGAAGAGGUCUUCAACAAAAUGAAGGACCUAGAAUUCCCAAGUACUGCUUUUGCUUGCAACCAGCUGUUGCUCCUCUAUAAGAGGCUUGACAAGAAAAAAAUAGCUGAUGUGCUGUUGUUAAUGGAGAAAGAAAAUGUCAAACCUACGCUCUUUACUUAUAGAAUCUUAAUUGACACGAAAGGUUUAUGUAAUGACAUAUCUGGGAUGGAGCAAAUUGUUGAGACAAUGAAGGCUGAAGGUAUUGAACCAGACAUCCAGAUACAAUCUGUCCUGGCUAAGCACUAUGCCUCAGCAGGCCUAAUGGAAAAAGCUGAGGAAGUUCUGAAGGCAAUGGAAGGGGACAACAUAAAAGAGAAUCGUUGGGUUUACAGGUUUUUGCUUCCUCUGUAUGCUGGUCUUGGAAAGGCUGAUGAAGUAGAAAGAAUUUGGAAGAUCUGUGAUUCAAAACCCCGCUUUGAAGAGUUUCUGGCUGGUAUUGAAGCCUGGGGAAAGUUAGGUAAAAUUGAAAAAUCAGAGGAAAUUUUCGAAAGGCUGUUAAAAACAUCAAAAAAGCUUCCUGCAAGGUAUUAUACCCAUCUCUUGAAGGUCUACUCAAACCAUAAGAUGCUGGAAAAAGGGAAGGAUCUUGUUAAGCGAAUGGCUGGUAAUGGGUGCCAGAUUGGCCCAUUCACUUGGGAUGCUCUUGUGAAGCUUCAUGUGGAAGCAGGGGAUGUGGAAAAGGCUGACUCAAUCUUGCAGAAGGCAUGCCAGCAAAAUGAAAUUAAGCCCAUGUUUACUACUUUCAUGGUUGUGAUGGAGCAGUAUGCUAGGAGGGGUGAUAUCCAUAACGCAGAAAAAAUGUUACAUAGAAUGAGACAGGCCGGAUAUGUAGCUCGAGUUAGUCAAUUCCAAACUCUAGUCAGAGCGUAUAUAAAUGCCAAAGCUCCAGCUUAUGGGAUCAGGGAGAGAAUGAAAGCAGAUAACAUAUUCCCUAAUAAGUCCUUAGCUGCUCUGUUGCCUCAAGUUGAUGCAUUCAGGAGGACUUCAGUGUCUGAUUUGCUCGACUAAGGAUUUCAAUGGUUACUUCAGGUAUCCAUUUUAAUGGCAACCUCUAUUUCUAUGCACAGUUCUUAUAUGUUUCAUGUGGUCAAAUAUUGGUUGUCUACUUCUAGACAUUCUGUUCUGUUCAAACUUCAAACCGUACUAAGCUUUUGAGAAAUAUGUUAUUAAAUUUUCUUUUAUUUGUGCUCACAUCACUAAAGUUGAUAUAUGAUUGUAGCAGUUAGUUCUCAAAAGCUUGUUAAGCCUUUCCAGCAGUUAAGAGCCUACUUUUUUUUUUUUUUCUGAACAAGUUAAGAGUGUACUUCUGGUUCAUGGGUACUUGAUCUCAAUGCAUAUUUGAUUUGGAAAAUAUGAGAAUACAAGUUUUCUACCAAAUUAUAUGUUAGGAUCCGUAAUCUCAAAUACAGUAUCGAAUAUAUAGCUAUAUAAACUAUUGUCUCUUGAGAAGUGAGAAUUUGAGUUUUCAUGUUCUUGGUGAAAAUAGGAUUUUGACAGAUUUGUGUUAAGAAAAACUAUUUUCUUCAAAGAAGAAAAAAUGUUCACUAGAAAAAUUUACAGAAAAAUAGAAAUGUUAUUAUAUAAUAUUCAUGUUAUCCUUCACAGAGCUAUAUAUGUAUUAUUUGGUGUUCAGUUACUAUGGUGGAAAGAUUAUAAAAUCCAGUUUUAUUGUUAGUCAUCUUAUUUGUGAAUUUUUUAUUGGUUUGGAUAAUACGGUUUAUUUAAAUUUUAAUAUUUUAACUAGCAGAUUCAGAUAUUACUUGACUUGGAUAAUAAUAUCCACAUUUAAAGCUGGAUUUCAAAACGAAUAUAUUAAAUAAAAUUCAUUUAAAAGCUAUAACAAAUUUGAUUUAAACUCAUUUAAUUAAAUUUAGUAAAAUCGUUUUUACAGUUAAGUAAACCCUUACAACAUAUUUUACAUGAUUUAAUGUGUCAAAUAGACAUUAAUGUUAAUGUCAAAUACAUAUUAAAAUAUAUUGUAUCAACAUUUCAUAUAAUUAAUAUAUGCAACAAGUUGAAUCCCACGUGUUGGCUUAAUGGUCAGAGUGUUUACGUGAUCUAGGAUCGAGUCGCACUAAUCGUGUUGUUGUUAGGGAUUUGCCCUCAUUUUAAUUUCACCAAAAGAAAAUGUAUUUUGCAUUUAAAAAAAAAAAACCACGAAUGGUGAAUAGAGGUUAGUUCCAUUUUUCUUUGUCUAUCUAUUAUUAUGAGUUUCUCUAUUUUUGCAUGAAACUGUCAAGGAUGUGCAGGUCGUAAAUUCCCGUGUAUUUUUCGUGAAUAUAAUAAGGAGUUUAAGCUGAACAUUAUUGGACUUUAAGAAAUGAGAGUUAGUUGGUGUAAAGCAGAUUUAAUCAUGCAAAAACUUGGUUUUGAGUUUUCACAUCAGGCUAAAUCUAUUGAUUUUUCGGGAGGAAUUUGGAUUGAUUAGAAGGAUUCUGUUUGUGUAGAGGUUAUUAAAAGUCAACCCCAGUUUAUUUUAACGAGGGUAUCAGAUAAUUCUCCUAGACAUCCAGCUUUAAUUGCCUUUGUUUAUGGUAGUCCUGAUAAACAAAACCGAAGAUUUCUUUGGAAAGUGUUGAGUUUGACCAUACAAAGUGAAAGGAUCCCUUGGUUAGCAAUUGGAGAUUUAAUGCUAUUCUCUCAACUGAUGAAAAAAAGGGUGGGCGGGGCAUUGGAAGGAGAUGUUCAUUAUUUGGUGAUUUUAUGGAUUUAUCUAAUCUUCAUUACUUAGGUUUGAUGGGUCCAGAGUUCACUUGGGCAAGAGGAGGAAUUGUAGAAAUGUUGGAUAAGGCAAUGUGUAAUAAAGCUUGGUUUUCUGCUUUUCCUAACAGCUUGGUAACCCACCUUCUGAGACUCAAGUCUGAUCACAGGCCUCUACUUCUUUCUCCUAAACUAAAGUUUUGAAUUGAAUAUAGUACACUUUGAUCAUCUUUUGCAAUUAAAAAUGGAGGUGCGUGAAGAGUUGGAAAGCGUCUUGUAUCAUGAAGAGCUUUUUUGGGAACAGAAGGCGAGGUGUGAUUGGUUGAACUUGGGAGAUUGUAAUACCAAGUUUUUUUAUAGGCGCAUUUUGCAAAAAAGGAAGGUUAAUAAGAUCAAUGCUUUGGAAAAUGAUAAAGGGGAUUGGAUGUAUGAGGAAGAGGAGCUCAAACAUGAGGCUGUUACUUUUUCUCAAAAACUUUAUGGUGAGCAACCAAGUCCGAUGAGAGGCCUUCCCCCAAGUGCUUUCCCUAAGCUUGAUGAAUUUGAUAUCUAGUUUUUGAGACAACUGAUUAUGGAUGAGGAAAUUAAGAGGGCAAUGUUCGAUAUGGCCCCCUGAAAGCGCCAAAUAGUGAUGGUUUUCAUGCCUCUGUUUUCCAAGAUCAACGGGAUCAAAUAGGGGGCUUUGUGUGUGAAUGGGUUAAGGGGAUAUUUGUUGGGAAUCCUAUUGAAUUGAAUUUAAAUAACACCUUAAUUGUUGUUAUUCCCAAGGUUAAAAGUCCUAAAAUUUUUCUCAAUUCUGAUCAAUCAGUUUGUGUUCAGUUCUUUAUAAUCUGGUUAUGAAAAUCAUCGUCAAUUGAUUCAAAGUGGUCUUCCCGAAAAUAAUAGCUUAGGAAUAGGUAGGCUUCAUAACUAGUAGAAACCUCACUGAUAACAUCAUCAUUACGCAGUAGGUUGUUCAUUCUAUGAAGAGUCGACAAAAGAAUAAAAGAUUGCUGGCCGUUAAAAUAGAUUUGGAAAAGGCAUAUGAUCGGGUUCGAUGAGUCACCAAAGAGCAUGAUUUUCUCAUUAAUGUAAUUGUGUCUACUAUUACGAACUCUACUUUGUAGAUUUUAUGGAAUGUCGUUCCUAUACAAACUUAAACUGACUAGAGGUGUUCAUCAAGACUGUCCUUUAUCUCCGUGCUUAUUUGUCUUAUGUAUGGAGUGGCUUGGUCACAACAUUCAUGCUCACAUUGAUUGCAAUCUUUGGGAUCCGAUUAAUUGACCCAUUUGGGUCCACCUCUUUUUCACUUAUUUUUUACAGAUGAUCUCAUGCUCUUUGGUCAGGCCAACGUUCAACAAACCCAAAUUCUGAAAGGCAUAUUGGAUAGGUUUUGUAAGUUUUCUGGACAUCGGAUAAAUUCGCAAAAGACCAACAUCUUUUUCUCAAAAGAGGUUGAUGAGAAUCUAACGUGGAGGAUUAGUAAUUUCUUGGGCUUUCAUAGAGUGAAUAAUCUAGGAUCUUACUUGGGCAUGCCACUUUUUCAUGAGCGAGUUACCAAUAGCACCUUAAGGUUUGUGGUAGACAAAAUUCAAAGUAAGUUGAAUAGUUGGGAUGCACGUAAGUUUUCACUAGUGGGAAGAGUCACACUUGCUCAAUUGGUUCUUUUAACAAUCCUAAGUUUUUUUUAUGUAGCCUAUGAUGAUUCUUAAGGGUAUUUGUGAUGAAAUUGAAUGUUUGAUAAGGCAGUUUAUCUGGGGAUCUUCAACUAGUGGCAAAAAAUGACAUUAGUUUGCUGGGAGGUUAUUUGUCAACCACGACCCAAUGGUGGUUUGGGAUUAAGGCGGAUACGAGAUCAUAAUAUGACCUUCAUGAUGAAAAUCGGGUUUAAGAUUGUUUCAGACCCAAAAGCCCUUUAGGUUCGUGUUCUUAAAACAAAAUAUAGGAUCCAAAAUGGUUUACCGGAAACCUUGAUUCAAAGUAGUGGUUCUUUUCUUUGGAAAAAUCUAUCAAAUUUAUGACCAUUCAUUUGAGAAAAUUUAAUUUGGUCGGUGGGAGAUGGUAGAAGUAUUAAUUGUUGCAAAGAUUCUUAGAUUCCUACUGUUGGCCUUCUUUGUAAUCGUAUGCCUUCUUAUUUUAACUUGAUGAUGGAUUGCCCACUUAGAGAAAUGGUUACUGAGGAAGGUUAUUGGAAUUUUGAUUUUUUUCGACUCUAACUCCUAGACGAGAUCAUUUGGAGGAUUUUGGGAAUCCUCCCGCCGCAUCCAGUAGUCGGUUCAGACAGUCAUAUGGAGUGGCUCAACAUCAGGUUCCUUUAUGCUCAAAAGUGCCUAUGGAAGAAUCCGAGGUAGGUCAUGGAACCCAAAAGAGAUAGUUUGGCAGCUUUCGUGGAAAUUUUCGAGGCCUCAGAGGGUUAAAUUCUUCUUUUGGCUUGCCCUUCAACAUCUAGUAGUCGGUUCGAACAGUCAUACGGAGUGGCUCAACAACAGGGUCCUUUAUGCUCAAAAGUGCCUAUGGAAGAAUCCGAGGUAGGUUAUGGAACCCAAAAGAGAUAGUUUGGCAGCUUCCGUGGUAAUUUUUGAGGCCUUAGAGGGUUAAAUUCUUCUUUUGGCUUGCCCUUCAACAGCGUAUGCGUACUAACGUGAAGAAUGAGGAGAUGUAUUAGUCUGGAUAGUUUGUGGAUUCUGCCAUUAUGAGUUGGAGAUGUGACUCACGUUUUAAAAGAUUGCCCUGCAACUAGAGACAUUUGGGAGCUCGUUGUCCCUGCUGAUAAGUUGUCCCUAUUCUUCUCAGGAGAUCUUCUAGAGUGGCUAGUGACAAACCUACAAAACCAUCAUCAGAUUCACUUGGGAGAUGUUGAUUGACAAUGUUUCUUUGGUCUCAUUGUGUGGCGGAUCUGGAAAAAUCGCAAUCUCCUUUUAUUUCAGGGUAUCCCAUGAUUACAUCAAGUAGACAGCCCCAUAAUUUGCAGGGUGUAAGUGGGGUAUUACUUGAUGCAAAUGUAGCAACAAGUUCAGUUGGUCAAGGUAGUUAUUCAGCUGGCCAAGGAAGCCCACCUGCCAACCGUUGAGUCACCUUCAACAAUACAAGGGCAUACUAGGAAUUCACCAUUAGUAAACGUUGCUGCUGUUGGAGCUGACGCAUCUUGGUGCCCAGAUUCCGGUGCUACACAUCACUUGAUCAACAAUGCCUCGGCUGUUUCAGUUUUUCCUCUUCAUACACGGGAUUAGGUAAAAUUCUUGAUGGUCAUGGUUGUGGUUUAUCCAUUUCUCGUGUUUGUAUACAUUGCUCACUGGCUCUUAAGGUUUUGAUGUUUAGCAAUGUAAUUGGAAAUAUGAGAUUAUAAAGGUGAUCAAAAUGUUAAAACCCAAACACAUAAUUUUAUUCAGGGAUGUGAGAUUACGGAAUGUUAUGUUAUAUUUGAUGAACCCUAAAAUGAAAACCAAAUGGCAGAGGAGACUUUAUAUACAUAGCUGAUUGAAUGCAAAGACUUGAUAUCCACCAGAGCGCUGGUGAACUAUCAUUAUUUUAAUAUAUAUAGACCCACGCAUCUUUUACGUUUUGCAUAUUACUACUUCCCAUUAAUUUAUUUCAGAUGGAAGAUACGAGAGAAGAAUCAUCUUCUGUAAUUCUAAGAUUCACAGACUCUUUUAACAAAUCAAAUGAAGUGAAAGAAUGUGGUCGCAGUAGCGCACUCAUCUCUUGCGCAUCUUCCAGCAGUGUUUGAUUAGGAGCGACCUGCAUGUAUCAACCAUGAAAAUUUAGUCUUAAUGUUUUUAUGAUCUAAAUUUUAAGUAUCAACAAAGGUGAGAAUGAGGACCAGAACAUAUGCAAACCAAGCAGUAGGGUUGCAUUAACAUGAACAUAUGCAAAGACUUCAAGGACUUUUUUGCAAAAACAGAAGAUGAAAAGUAAUAAAAAUGGCUGUUUAACCUUCUUUGGCUCCUUGAAGGAAUUCUCAUCCAUCAGAUUAGCAGACGUGAGAGUGGUCUUUGUUGAUCCAGACAGCUUUACAGAAUUUGGAUCCAAUCCAUCAACAGAAAUUUGGAGGUUGACUGAAUUGCUCCCAAAGUUUACAACCUGGAUUCAUCAUAUAUAUAUUUGAAUGUAAGAGGAAUAUAUGCCAAAAGAUAAAAGGCAAUCAAUAACUUUUCAAUUAAUAAGAUGAUGGUAGAAUUAAGCAAGUGGCAGAGACUUUUUAGAUUUAAGGAUUUUAAUUUAUGUUAGGUUUGAUCCAAGAAUGCCUAACUUGCAUUCUUUUUUAACUUGAGAAGUAGCUUUUUGUGUUCUCUAAGGAUAUUUUGAUGUAGCCAAGUUCAAAAUUUAAGCUACCAACUUUACUUCCAUCUUUUGAUAAUGAGAAAUCAUCUGUUAAAUCUUUAUUAUCAAUUCCAUCUGAGAGCCAAAUAGCCAUAAGAAACAUAAGGUCAAUAUAUAUGCAAACACAUGUAUGUGAAAAUACAUGCAAACAAUGCAGUCAUUUAAUGCAUGCCUAUUUACCAAGAGGCCAUAUAUAUAUAUAACCAACAAAGUUCUUCUAGGUCCUGCACAUUCAGGGAAAUCAAGCAAUAAUCCUUUUUUAAAUAUGUUUAAAUGUAUCUAUAUCGAUACCUAUGCUGUGGGUUGAUUGAUAAGCAUCACAGGCCCUAGAUAACUAAUGAGAUCUUGAAGCACAUGGACUUCUUGUUAGGCAAAAGGAAAAAUGAACAAAAAGUAGCCAUGGGAAAACAGUUGGAGAAAAAAGUCAAGAUCUCCAUGUUACAGACCUUUAUCCUUACGUAGGUUUGACCAUCCUCUGAAUUUUUCCAAGUAAUUGCAGAUGCAACAAGGGAAUUAGAUGAAUCUUUUUGCAGUGUUGCAUUAAGAAGAGUUGCUCCACUUGAUUCUGUGAAAAAACGUUGCACCCAGUAGCUAGGAGUUCCAUACACCUGAAAGGAGUUGAAGACGAUUGCAUCUGGGUUCCACCUUAAUAACAAUUUUUUAUCAAAAUCAGAUUUACAACAUAUUUAAGAGAGAGAUUACAUUUUAAAAAAAUAGUGAGAAAAAUACCGUCUGUCAUUGGAAUUCACAAAAAGUGGUGCAUAGCUAGCCAUAUGCACAACAUCGCUGCAGUAUAACAAACAUAGAUUCAGUAGCUUACACUGAGGAGGAUUAUAUAAUGAUAUUUAAGCAUAGUUUAGGUAUAUAAACAAUUGUGAGUCAGAAUCACUUCUAAUAGUUAUACAAAAACCAUCAAAAUCACAGCACAGCAAUUUUUUGCCAAUUUCCCAUUUCAAUGAACAAAUUUAAAGAGUCCUCGGUGAAGAGUCAAAUGUUUUAAAACUUCCCAAGAUCAGUAAAACAAACACUUAAAAACAAUUAAUAAUGAGCCAGCCAAUAGGGCUUUUCAUGAAGAUACUAGGGUAAGCCUAUUAUAAAGAAUUAAAUGAAAGAGACCAAAUAGAAUAUGUUGAAGAGAAAGAUUAACAAAAAAAAAAAAAAAGAAACAAAACCUGUUCUUUUCCAGACCAAUAAGGAAUGCAGCCUCAGCAAGUGCUGCUAAAAGACUUCCAGUGCCAGCAUCUUUCCCAGUCACAGCAUAUUCACUAACAAAGGCCUGGAAUGUGUUGAAGAAAAAAAAAAUAAGAAAACAAACAAAUCCAAAUAUCACUCAUAACCACCUUCACAUACCUUUGGACCCUGUCGUGUUGUACGAUCAAAUUUAUGGGACAUAGAAAACAAGUUGUUGGCAGAUGUAUAAACCUAUUAAGAUAUCAAGGAAAAAAAUUCAUCCUGCCAUCCAUAUUCUUAACAGAAAAUGAAAAUGAGAAAACAAAAGAAACAAGGAGAUAAACUAAAAAGUCAUUCUAGUGUCAUUAUGCUAGCUUUCAAGAACUUUACAUGAAAAUCAUAAAGAUCAGUUGGGUGGUCAAGCGGGAGAGAAGAUCCAUCACAGUUUGUAAUGAUUUUGAUAUCUGGGUAGGUCCGCUUUAUAGCAUCAUAGAACUUGAGGUAAUUUCCUGUUCAAUCCAAAAUAGGAAAAGAAAAUUAAGCAAAAAAAAGUGUCUCCAUACUCUGAUAUUUCUAAAUGAAAUAACAAUUCACUAAUAAUACUCCGGUAACUAAUCAAAUAAAAACAGUGGUAGAGUGAUAUGACCAGCAAUACUUGAGCGAAGGAUAAAACUUUUCCAUGUCUCCCAGAAAAGCUCUUUUUCCAAAAUUUUGCAACCAAAAAACUCGAGGACUCUUUUUCCAAAAUUUCGCAACAAAAAAACUCAAGGGCUGGACUCUACAUCCACCUUCUUAUGGACAAUACAAAGAGAAUUUGCCUUCAAUAACUAAAUAACUUUUGACAAAAGGGAUAUUAAUGAAAUGCAUUAAAAUGUUACAGAAGCUAUAAAAGAUUCCCAUUUAUAACUGCCAUGCCACUACCAAAUUCACAUGCAUAUGCAUGUGCAAGCAUGAUUUUGCUGACCUCGAUAAUUCUUCUUCCCACAAUCCUCAUUCCCAAUAGCAACAUAUUUCAAAUCGAAAGGUUCAGGGUGUCCCAUUGCAGCUCGAACAGCACCCCAUGUAGAACUAGCAUCACCUCUAGCAAACUCAAUGCCAUCAAGGGCCUCCUGCAAUCAGCACAUUAUAAAGAAUAUCAUAAAAAACAAAACAUAAAGAAUGACUCAGUAAAAAACCAAAGUAUUCACAUAUAAUAAGAUCAAAAUUUAUUUUUUUCUUAUAAUCUAAUUAAAGCUCUCAUUGGAAAGUUCUCAAAAUACAUAAUUAAUUUUUUUUUAAAUGUAUAUGAAGCAUAUAAAAUUUAGUUUCUAGGAAAAGAAGAGAAAAAAAAGAAAAAGAAAUUUUUUGAGCUAUUUGUAAACUCUAAAAUCCCAACCCAGCUACCUCUUCCCACCAAUUAGAUUUAGAUACCUUAAAUUUCCAGCAAAUCAAGUACAGAUCCUCACCCUUUUCCAGUUAAGCUUAAGCUAAGGUAUCUCUAGAUAUCAAGUUUUAGAAACAAAAUAGAUUCAGGUUAUCUUAAACAAACACUAAACCCAUGUGGGAUUAAACCAACUUCAGUCAUAUCAUCAGACAACAGUUAUUAACCAAUAUCAUUGGCAAAAGGAAGAAUUGCAUAGACAUACUUGCACAAAAGGCAGAACACUGGAUGUAUCAACUUGAUCAUUAUGACUAAUUCCUGUAAAUUUUGAUAAAGCCCAAGGCAAAAGGUAAAGUGACCGGAAGCAUUAGCCACUAGUAUAUUAGUUAUAACUCUAAAAAAAUAAAAAUUAAAUCAUGAACAGAAUGGUGUACAUGCACAGUACCAUUGUUGAACACCCAUAUUGGCAAUGCACCAAGAUCCUCUGCUAACUGCAAGAAGAUAGUACUAAUUUAGAAUGCCAAGAGUUAAACAGCAUAAAUUGAAGUACUCCAUGUUCAGGAGAAAUCUAUAAAACCCUACAAAUGAAUAAGAUACCCACUUGAAGAAACUCAAAGUAACCAAGUCCAUCAUCAGUCCAGUACAUCCAAACGUCACCAAAGUGCCCUGGUCUUUCUUCCCAAGGUCCAACACUUGCUUUCCAGCGAAAAGCAUUUCUUAACCAUUCACCUUCCACAAAACAGCCACCUAAUGCAGUACAAUUAAGAAAAUACAUCAUUUUUAUGUUUAUAACUCAUGAUAUAUAUGUAUAUAUGUGUGUAUAUAUGACGCUAGUGCUUAAAAACAAAACCAGGACAGCAAGUGUCAGAUAAAACUUACAAGACAAACAAUCAGCAGAGUAUAAUUCAAUGAUCUACUAACAUACAAAAACAAAUUUUGUAUGGUAACCUGGUACAAGAGACACCGUAUAAUAUGUUAUUGAGAGAGUUCCAUACUGAAAUAGAUCAGAGGUUGUAUCUCAGCAAAGGUUUCUGAGAUUUUAAACAGGCAUUCUGAGAUUCUAAACAGCCAUCUAAUAAAAUUUUACAUCAAGACCAAGUGAAACAUUUAAGCAAACAGUGCAGAAAAAGUAAAAAAAUAGCAAGUACAGAUAAAAGUAACAAGACAGAUAAUGCAUUAGGGAAUUAGGCUAGUGGUUGAACUCAAUCAUUCUAAAAUUUCCAUGAUUCUAAGCAUCCACAACUAUGGUUCGUUAUAUACUGUUGCAUCCGUGAGUUUGGGAUUGAGUUCCAAGCAAUGGACAGAAAAUCACUCAAGUUAGGGAGCCUGAAACCUUUAGGACUCCUUAGAGACAAACCUAGAUAUCCUUUUAGGGUUUUGAUAAAAUUCAACUUGCAUUUGUUUUAUUCAUUGUCCCUUUAAAUAGAGAUUACAAUAAUUAAAGGAAGUAUAUCAAACUAAAUGAAGUCCUACCAAACACAUUCUAUUUUAAGAGUCCUAAAACCACUUCAUCUGAGAGUCCUACGUAACAACUACUAAGCGUCCACAACAAUACUUUCCUCCUGGAAAAAGAGAUUGUCAUCAAGCUCAGAGUUGGAAUAAACUUGGCAAAAGAUACCUUCCUCAAUAGUAAUCGACAUUUGCCCGACGCUCAUACAUCCAUCGAUCAUCAAUGUAGUCAAAGGAAAUUUUAUUAAAUAAAUCGAACACUACCACACCAUUAUUCCUUCUCUUUACUAACAAUCAAAACGAUAGGUGUCACAGACCUCACAAACUGAUAGGUGUUUGCCCUAGAGAGGUACUAGAAUGUGCAUUUGUUACCUCCACCAAAGCGGAAAAACCAAACAAAAUCACCAAAUCAAUAUGAAAAAACUAUUACUUGCUAACUUGGCUCAAAUAAAUAAAGCACUCUAUGUUACAUGUAUUAUCACUUUACCCUGGUAGAGCUGUCUGACAAUUCAUGGACAGUAAACUACUCUAUGGAUAUUGCACUUAAACCAUCAAGCUCAGUGCAUAAAUUGCUAAGAACAUGGUCUGCCAUCUCAAAGACAUACCCUUCUCAACCUAUCCAAAGUCCUUGUAGCUAGAAGGCAUAGAGGGGAAAAAUAAUGAGAUGGAUAUAGAGCUAGCAAGCUAAAUGAACUCGAAAAGAAACACCCAAACCUUACCUUGAGCCAACCUGCUUUAGAAAAGAAAUCAACUUGAACCCACCUAACCCCAGCCUUAUCCAAAUUUACAUUAGCUAUAAUUCCAUUUCCCUUUCAAACAUUAAUUUGGUUACAACUAAUAAAUUUAACAAACUUUUAGCAAGAUUAGUAAACCAAAUCAUAUAAACCAAUGCAUCAAAGAUGAAUAUUAAAAAUCAAUAAAUAAUUAAUGAUUUUUAGGAGAAAUCUGUCAAUAUCCAACGUAGUAUAACUCUAAAUUAGUAAAUGGCUUUCAAGUUACUGCUUUUUGUUCUUUGAUAUGAUCUAAUGAUAUUUUAAAAGAACUUAUCUUCUGAUAUUAAAAAAGGAAAAAAAGUGUUUAAGGACUGCUACCAAUUGAAAACAAAAACGCCGGCUUAAUUAAGGUUGAUAAAUUCUAACUCAACUUCAAUGACUUGCCUAAUCCAACUGAAUUUGCCUUUUAAAAUUCAAUAACUUUGACCAAAAAUGGUUUGAAAAAUUACUCAAACCCAAAAUGGAACUAACCUGAACCCACCCGCCCAAUUGCCACCUCUAGGAGGUAGCGACUAUUAAGGAAGGUCUAACCAAAAGAAAAUUAUCACAGAUGGAGCAGUCUUAGUAUAACAAAAUUAGAUAACCAAGACACUGAAGUUUAGAAAUCAUCACCAGAUUGAAAAAUAAAACAACGCGCCACCCCCCCCCCAAAAAAAAAAAAAAGAAAAAAAAAAAACCUCAGCAUAGUGACUAUAUACAAAACAAUUUGACCUAAGCUGUCAAGGUGCAUAACAUAGCACACACCUGGAAAUCUAAUAAAGCGAGGUUUGAUAUCUGCAAGCAUUUCAGCAAGCUCAUUUCGGAAACCAUGCCCCUGUUGCAAAAUCAUUACAACACAAAAAAUUAGAUUAUAUAAUAUAUGUAUUGCAGUUUGAAAUUGUGAAACAAGUUCAUGCAAUAGCAAACCCGCAAAAAUAUAAACUAAUGUUUUUGCAAAUCACUCGCUGUAAUCAAAGAAAAUAGAGAAGCUAGUAUUCCAUCAAGUUAGAGUAGUUUCCUACUUCUGUUUCUAUUUUUGAAACUAAAAAAUUGUUCGGUAAUGACUAUAUUUUUUCUGAAAAAAAAUCCAAAAGGUGCUUUUGGUGUUGUUAACAUGCAGAUGAACAGUGCCUACAGAUGAGAAGUGCCACUUAUUUACUCAAAUGUAUGACAAGUUGAGAAAUGGCAUCUAAAACUUUGAAGAACUAUUCUGAUCAUAUUAGGCUUUGAUUGGUAUGUACAAGUUGCUUGCUGAUCAAAAUUAUUUUAGACAUGGAUUUUCAUUAAAUGUACAUGCUUCUUCAAUUAUAUUUAUAGAGUUUUGAAGCCAUUAACUACAUAUUUUAAUUUAGAAAUCCUCAUCAUCAUUUUAGAAGACAUAUACAAACAUAUGCCUGACAGGACAGCCAAUUUAAACAUGCAAAGCAAUUGUCAUACUCUAAAUCUCAUAAUAAUCAGUUUCUAUAUAAUCAAGGAAUGUUGGCAGUUUAACCAAUCAAAAACAUAAAUUAGUCACUUUUCAGUAUGUCAUGAUUAAGAAAGAAACACAAACCUUGUAAGUGUCCAAAGGCAUAGCUGAAACUUGAUCAAACCAUACCACACCAUUUUUCGAUGUUGUUAGUUGCAGCCUUGAAUUGUGAUUUGUUUCCUUGGCUUCCAACAGAACCUCCAUCUUUGUCCAGUUUGAAACAUCAGAAGCAGAAGCUCUGCGAGGACAAGAAGAUGAACUCCACGGCAUCUCAAACGAUAAUUCUUGUAUGAAGGAAUCAUUAAGUGGACAAUAUCUUUCAGAGUAUGAGAAUAUUAAUUAGGUUCUUACUUUAUGUUGGUGGAGGAUAGUGUCUGCAAGCCAUCUGAGCUCGUAAAAGAUACAGAAAUGUCAAUUGCUCCUGUUGAGCGAACAUAAAAUACGAUCUUGUAGCUCUUCCCUUGCUCAAUAUUCUGCAUGAGAAACAAGGUAGAAACUAUAUAAAUUGUAGAACAGCAGACAAUGUAAAAGACUAAAAUUUGCAGAUAAGCUGCUUGAGAUUUUGCAAUCUUGUUGUUUAAACAACUAGGGAAAAAUAGAGUAUGGACUAAGAAAGCAUUUGGCAGAGAAAAGUUUCUUCAGCAAGAGGGAUAGAGAGAGAGGGGAAACACACACACUACAUAAUAUAUUUGAUAUAAUGCCAGUUUAUCCUCACCAUGCCCCAGAACCCUGGGUUAUAUAUACCAACUCCUCCAGAUGGACAGAUAUGAGUGCCCUCACUAUUACAGAGCACCUCCAUUUUGAGAGCCACCUUGUUACGUUCAAAACAUGACGACCGGUCAGUUGACACAAUUAUAGAUGACUCGUCCCCAAUUAUGGACCAUGGGUCAAUGUUUGAAGGAAUAUUGGCACCCCCAGCUUCAAACCCUGGAGGAAGAAAAAAACAGGAGAAAGAUAUCAUUAUGAUAAGUCUAAGCAUUAGCAACUGCAGAUGGUUUACUGAUAAUUUAUAUUUUUAGAGUGGGACUACAAGGGCCUAUCCCAGAAGUUUUUUUCUGUGACUCGAUCAUUUGUAGUCAACCAAAUCUGUUGAAGCGAGCUAGCUCAUGGCCAUCAAACUUGAGGGAGAAAAAAACAAACAACUUGAGCAGAAUACCAAAAAAACAAGAACUUGAGCAAGAACGUAAACAAAAAGACAAACGUGCAUAUCAUAUUGAAACUUCAGCCUAAUAGGAAUUACACUAGGCAUCUAGUUAUGAAUUGAGUUCUCCCAAAUGACUGAACAGAUCAGGUACCUUAAAAGCCAAUCAAACCAACAAGUUCAGAGAAGUCACAUCAAUAACAAGAGGGGAGAACUUCAUUGCGUAAGAGAGAUUAAAGAGAACGCAAUAGAAAAAUCAAACAGCCUAAAUGGGGAAAAGAAUAAUUUCUAGACAAAAUCCACCCAAAAGGUAAAUAUCUCUUCCAUGAAAAUGGAGUAUGACCCAUCAAGUGAUUAAAAUUUUUUAUUUGCUCACCAUCUCCUACACACCCUCCAAUGUCUAAUCCCCUCCCAAAGGGCACACAUUUGGACCCUAAAUUUAUUAGUCAGAACAAGUACUUUAGACAAGAAAAAAAAACCAAAUAUAUCCUUGAAAAUUUUGCAAUCUAAAGAUUCUGAACCUCAUACUUCUCUUCAAUAGUAGGGUUUCCACCAAUUAUGUAAUUUAAACACAGAAAGAAAGAAUAUCCUCUUAUAUUAUUUCUCUCUACUUCUUAUGAUUAUAAGGUUCUCAAACAAACCUCUGUUGCUUACAAGCUCUGCCCACAGCCCACCAGCACCAGCAUGGUUGAUCUCCUGUAGGGCAAGGAAUUCAAAAGGAUCAUUUGCUCGGCAAUAAAUGAAAAUGUUACAACAUCGCUAAAUGAGGUAAGUAAUCAAGCACUGCAGAAAUGCAGAAAGCUGUAAACUGAAAGUAAUUCAAAUUGUUAGUUUUCUCAUUAAUGGCAUCUUUUUGGUAAGUAAAACUAUGUAUCAUUAGAUGACAUCUUAGUAUGUCAUGGAUUGAUAUGUUGAAGGCCUUUUCCUUUUAAGAAGAAAACAUUCUAGAGCAAUCAAGUGAUUUAUGUAACCGUCUGUAAUUUUAGUCAAAUAUUAAUUGAACUAACCUCAAAGAAUAUUCCAAACAGUGUUUGAGGUAUUGGACGGCUUGACUGUUCGGAAGCAUCUAUAAACAGCUGAGCUGUCAGGUUUUUGUCAACCUCAUCAGCCAACAAUUGACGGGGAAGGCAGAAACUGAUGAAGAGGCAUAGUAAAAACACACAAGGAGCCUUGCAAUAACCCAUUGCCUACACCACAUCCAGCAUGAGGAAACAGCAUUCAGAGCACUGAUAUAAAAAUACAAUGCGUGACUCAAACACUUGUUUGUAUAGAGGAUUUUGGUGUAAACAGUAAAAGAACAUAAAUCGGUAUAAAGGGAAUAUUAAAUCAUUUGACGAUAAUUGGAAGUUAAACGAAAACAAGUAAAAUAAAAAUAUCAGCUCAGCAAUCAUGAAAAAAGUAGCUAAUUCCUAUUAUUGAUUGACAGCUAUUCGAUUCAAAUCCGAGGUAAAGAUUCACUAAUAUCAGACACUAUACUUGCUUGCAGGUACCACGAUUGACCGUCGAAAAGAGAUAUGGUCAAAGCAAAACAAAAACUGCACUUGAUUCAAUUAAACUCUUAGGUCAAAGCAAUGAACAGGGAAACAAAAACAAAAAGAAGAGCAUAAAAACAGUCUGUUAUUAUGCCACUAUCGAAAACCCAUCAUUGGGCAAACCUUAGAAACUGCACAGACAGAUUGAGAACGAAAAAGAAAAAGAAGUGAAACCCAGAUAAGAUGAAAGUAUUGGGAGUGAUGGGAUGAAGCAAUCAGAAUUUUAUAGUGAAGAAAUCAAAACAAAUGAUCCAAUGCAAUUUCAGAAUCAGUGAUAGAGUAGAGAUAAGAGUGUUGAGGAAGGAAAAGAUCUACCUCCAACGAAGCUGACGCGAGGACAGUAAAGUGUUAGCGGAAAAGACAGGACAAGUGUUUUGCUUCCACGGUUCGGUAUGCGGGUUGCCUUGCUUUCACGACAGCAAAAAAAUGUACUUUACACUUUGUAAGUUCCAGCCUUUGUAAUGUCCGCCUCUUCUAGCAAUCCUACAAUAGUAAAAGAUGACGAUUUUGCGACUUAGAAGCAACUCACUCAAUAAAGGAAAAAGUCCACUUCGAGUUUCCGCUCUAUCUCCCCCUUUGCUUACUUUAACAAUUUCUUGUGGUCCCUCUCCUCGAACUUAUCCAUUUCCAAGACCGGCAAUUAAUUAUUAUUAUCAUGCUUAACACAAUAAUUAGGUUCGGUUAACUAUAUCAUGUUUAAUUCUCUUUAAAGUGUAACUAUACCAAAAACAGUAAAGAGCAAAAAGAAAUCUUAACCCCCUUUCCCAAGUACUUUUCGCUUUAUUUGAUACAUGGAUUUUUAAUUUGUUAUGGCAUUGAUAUAUGUUUUUUCUUUUUGGUGGUGAACAAACUCUCUGGCCAACUAUAAGAUACUCUAUAACGAGAUUCCAUGGUUGUCAUCUUGUUCAAUCGUGAUUGUGUCGUAUUGCUAUUGUGCACGCUCGCUAUAUGAACUUCUGAAAGGAGUGACCUUAUGUCCCUUUCUUUCGUGAGGCAUCCUUGGAAAUAUUGCCUCUCACCUGCACAUUCCUAAGCCUAAUCAAAACCAAUUCGAGAAAGAGAAUUCUACAGUAUAAUUUUGAUGCUCCUUUCACUGUUCUCCAGAAUAUGAACUGGUUCUCCUUAGUAACUUGUGCAAUAGCAACAACACUAUGCAUCCUUGUAUUUCAAUUGGUGGCAAAUUCAUGAUGAACUUGGAUCUCCAUAAUUUCUUCUUAACGGAUAGAUCUUCCCUCACUACCUCUAAAGUGAGUUCAAAAGGCAUUCCAUAUCUUUGCCACCAUUGUAUGAAUCUAGGCAAGAGCCUGUAAUGGUGGUUGUUUACAUCCUCAAAAUAUUUUCAUUCCAAUUUUUCUAAAUGAUUUUGUAACAGCCCUUACUCGACUCGAUCACCGGAUUCAAGUCACCGAAUCCUAGAAUCAUUGUUAGAGUAACUACAUCAAUCAUACAAUUUCCGACCAUUUAAACAUGUAAUUCAAUAUGAAAUGUAUUCACAACAUGACACACAAUCAUUUUUGGGUCUCACACAAACUUAUCAAAGCUUUUUGCUACCGCGAGUAAGAAUUAGGACCAAAAGGUAAAGUUUUUAAAAGUCUCAAGCCGACCUCGCGACUUUAAAGCUUCCUCGCCACGGCGACGUCAUCUCAAUGAGUCACGUUGCGACGACAUGCGCCCCAUGUCGCAAUGUCACUCACUGUCAAAUGACAUUGCGACGUCAAAUACUUCUCUUCGCAACAUUGCCUUUGUUUUUACCAAAAUGCACAUUUGAUAUCUAAUUCAAAUAAUUCCAAAUCAUUUCAUACAUGUUUUCAUCCAAUCUUCACAAAAAUAAAAUCAUUAAAUCAAACCAAUUGACAACCAACUCAAGUAUAAAACCAAAUAAUCAUUUUAGUGUUCUUUCUGCAUAUCCUGGUUGUUCAGUUAAGUCUACUAUGGGCCAAAAGAAAAGUGUUAAGUGAAAAUUAAUAUUGAUUAAGAGUAAGUGAAAUAUAGUAAAAUUGUAAGUGAAAAUGAGCAUUUAAUGAUCUUUUAAUUAAAUUCAUUGGGUUAUAUUUAAAGUAUUGACAUGUUAAAUUUAAUUAAGGUAAUAGUAAGUUUAAUUCUUAAUGUACUUACUAAACUUUUAUAAGCUUAACACGUUAUUUUUCAAUACAUAAGUGAUAGAGACUCGAAUUAAAGCUUUAGAGUGAAGAUAUAAUUUCAAUUCAUCACAUCUCAAAUAUUGGAAAAGGGUAUGAUUUUGAUCUUUUAACAAUAGAUCAUGACAUGUACAUAAGUUAAAAUAAAGCAUCUGCACAAGAUUCCUAGUGAAAAUUGUAAUAGCCCAUUUUGCCCAGGCCAAAGCACAAAUAAAUAAAAUCCAAAAUAACAAAAAUAUUCAUAAAGUCCAAAUUACAAACAGGCCCAAUAUGACCCAAAUUAGAAAAACCUUGCAGCCCAAAAUGGCCCAAAGCUUAAGCUGUUUCAGAAAAAAAAAAAACCCUAGGGCACCAUGUGCGCCGCACUGCUUCUUCGUGCCCUUGCAGCGCACUCGUCGCCCGAAGCAUGAUAGAUAUCAGCGGCCUUGCACCAAAAUGGCCAGGGUUAUCCCUCCAACGCUCGUUGACCUUGCCAAAACCUGCAAACAGGGCAAAAAGGAGACAAACACGGAAGCAAAGCAAAAGCAAACAAAAACAGCGUGUAAAUCGGCUAUAAAUGGCCUGAGAAAAUAUUGUAAAAAGGGGAGGGGGAUUUUUGUAUGAAAAAAAAGAUUGAAAAAAUAAAAUACAAAAACAGAGGUGAUUCUAAAAGCUUUUUUCAAUUUUUUCCUUUCUGUUCUUAUAUAUUUUUUCUUGAUCUAUUCUUUUCUUCUGAUAUACAUUCGAAAAUAAAAUAAAAAAACAAAUAAGGUAGAAGCGAUUUUCGAUUUCUUUUGGGGUGUUCUUCGAUUAUGUUUUAUGCAUAAGAUAAAAUAAAGAGAGGGAGGGGAGCGUACCUUGUCGUCGGAGCCGUCGAACUCCAUCGUAAUCAAAGCCUUGGUGAGCCCGAAAGCAUAAGAGCGGGGUAGAGGAGAACUUUAGGGCUAUUAUGUUUUUUUAAAAGGGGGAGUGUCUGCUGAGGCUUAGGGAUUUGUUAGAAUCAUUGUUUCUUAUUGAAACAGUGCCGUUUAGACUCUGUUUCAAUGGUCUAAGACGGCGCCAUUUAAGUUAUUCAAUAUCAGCAACCCGCAUGACCCGACCAGCACGCGUAGGAUCCGCGUAUUUCUAGUGGAGGGGAUAUUUACCCUUAUGGUCCUUCUGAUUCUCAAAUAUUUUUC